rnacentral:rRNA from 1 species
AUUGAACGCUGGCGGCAGGCUUAACACAUGCAAGUCGAACGAGUGGCGGACGGGUGAGUAAUUCGUGGGAAUCUGGCUUAUGGAGGGGGAUAACGACGGGAAACUGUCGCUAAUACCGCGUACCCUAUGCUGCGCCCAAGUGGGAUUAGGUAGUUGGUGGGGUAAUGGCACACAUAGGCGACGAUCUCUAGCUGGUCUGAGAGGAUGACCAGCCACACCGGGACUGAGACACGGCCCGGACUCCGACGGGAGGCAGCAGUGGGGAAUAUUGCGCAAUGGGGGCAACCUGACGCAGCCAUGCCGCGUGAAUGAAGAAGGCCCUAGGGUUGUAAAGUUCUUUCGGUGACGAGGCGUUAAUCACAGAAGAAGCACCGGCUAACUCCGUGCCAGCAGCCGCGGUAAUUC